GGCCAGGUAGCUCAGUUGGUACGAGCGUCCGCCUGAAAAGCGGAAGGUCGCCGGUUCGACCCCGGCCCUGGCCACCU
rnacentral:tRNA from 3 species